ensembl:lncRNA
GUAAGAAUUACUUGCCUAAACAAAGUACUAUCAGAUUUGCUUGACAAACCUGAGGAGUCCAGGACUCUGAAAGGCAUCUAUGGCACUCCUCACCCACACCAGAAAUUCCUGUUCUGCACCUAGCUAAUGUGCAUACCCUUGUGGUUCCACCAGACCAACUGCAGCUUCCAAGAAGUGUGUAGGAUUAACGUGGAAAAGAUGUUCCAAGGACUACAAAACUUGCUGAUAUCAGUAAUAUACUUGGAGUUCUCCAAACAAUGAAGGAAUAUUUAAAAUACUAAAUUAAAUUUCUAUUUAAAAUCUAUAUCUAAAAAAUUUAAAAGCUGAUUAGGGGAGAGAGAGAGAGAACGAACCUGAAAAUAUAAGUAAAUGUUCCAAACAAGCAAUGCUCUCGGAUGUGAGAAUAAGAUAGACAAUUCUGCAAGGCAAUCUGUAUAUAUGUUGGGAGUGAGAGCAGAGUACCUCCUAAUUUCAUUGAGAAAACUAGAAUUUUAAAAAAUAAUUAUGUGAUAAAAGUUUUACAACUAUAAGCUCAUUUGAUCCUUAGGAUAAUCUGGUGACAUAAGCUCAGGCUAAAUCUACUAUUCCCAUUUCAUAGAUAAUGGAAUGGGAUUUAGUAGAGUCUCACUGUAAGUCCACUAUAUAGCUGUGCCUUGUCCAGUCCAGGUUUAUGCUUCCUCCCUACCCUCACACCAGGCACUGAGAAGCUAACAUAAUGAAUAUGCUAAUAUGAUACCAUUAUUAAUUGAAGUAUUAAUUCAACAAACAUUUUAAAUGCCAAAUCCAUGGCAAACCCUGCCUUCAAGAGGUUUACAGUCCAAUGGAGGGAGCAAAUAUUUAACAGACAAAAGAGCAUAUGAAAAGCUCUAAAUGAAAUGGAAUCACAGAAAGGAAUACCUGAUUGCACCCAGCAUAUUAGACUACAUUGCCCUAAAAGGAUAGUUAACCUUAGUGAGUCUUUAAAAAGGAGGCCAAAGUAGGUUCUUGAUAGGGUGUCUUCCCCAGCAUUUUCUGCUCUGAUUCUAAAGUCCAGUACCAGUCAGCAAGGAAACAAACAAACAAACAAACAAACUACACUCCUACUGUGAAGAAAAGCAAUUCAUCUAGUCUUAUAACCAGGCAGGUAUUUCCACCCUCUUCUGCUCACUUACUGAGCUAACCAAACAACCUUUCAAAUAGUAUUUAGGAACAUGGGGUUAAUCCAUUCGAGCAAGCAGAAAUAAAUACUGACUAUAAAUAACCUGUUGCUAUUUAUCUUGUGCCGGUCCUCUUUUGUUGUGA